CCUACGGGCGGCUGCAGUGAGGAAUAUUGGUCAAUGGGCGAGAGCCUGAACCAGCCAAGUCGCGUGAAGGAUGACUGCCCUACGGGUUGUAAACUUCUUUUGUCAGGGAGCAAUUGGGUCCACGCGUGGGCUUAGCGAGAGUACCUGAAGAAAAAGCAUCGGCUAACUCCGUGCCAGCAGCCGCUGUAAUACGGAGGAUGCGCGCGUUAUCCGGAUUUUUUGGGUUUAAAGGGUGCGUAGGCGGAAUAUCAAGUCAGCGGUAAAAUUUCGGGGCUCAACCCCGUCGUGCCGUUGAAACUGAUGUUCUUGAGUGGGCGAGAAGUAUGCGGAAUGCGUGGUGUAGCGGUGAAAUGCAUAGAUAUCACGCAGAACUCCGAUUGCGAAGGCAGCAUACCGGCGCCCAACUGACGCUGAAGCACGAAAGCGUGGGUAUCGAACAGGAUUAGAUACCCUUGUAGUC
rnacentral:rRNA from 1 species